rnacentral:rRNA from 1 species
GGGUUGUGAGGUUAAGCGACUAAGCGUACACGGUGGAUGCCCUGGCAGUCAGAGGCGAUGAAGGGCGUGCUAAUCUGCGAUAAGCGCCGGUAAGGUGAUAUGAACCGUUAUAACCGGCGAUACCCGAAUGGGGAAACCCAGUGUGACUCGUCACACUAUCAUUAACUGAAUCCAUAGGUUAAUGAGGCGAACCGGGGGAACUGAAACAUCUAAGUACCCCGAGGAAAAGAAAUCAACCGAGAUUCCCCCAGUAGCGGCGAGCGAACGGGGAGGAGCCCAGAGCCUGAAUCAGCAUGUGUGUUAGUGGAAGCGUCUGGAAAGGCGCGCGAUACAGGGUGACAGCCCCGUACACAAAAGCGCAUGUGCUGUGAGCUCGAUGAGUAGGGCGGGACACGUGGUAUCCUGUCUGAAUAUGGGGGGACCAUCCUCCAAGGCUAAAUACUCCUGACUGACCGAUAGUGAACCAGUACCGUGAGGGAAAGGCGAAAAGAACCCCGGCGAGGGGAGUGAAAAAGAACCUGAAACCGUGUACGUACAAGCAGUGGGAGCACAGGUUUACCUGUGUGACUGCGUACCUUUUGUAUAAUGGGUCAGCGACUUAUAUUCUGUAGCAAGGUUAACCGAAUAGGGGAGCCGGAGGGAAACCGAGUCUUAACUGGGCGUUAAGUUGCAGGGUAUAGACCCGAAACCCGGUGAUCUAGCCAUGGGCAGGUUGAAGGUUGGGUAACACUAACUGGAGGACCGAACCGACUAAUGUUGAAAAAUUAGCGGAUGACCUGUGGCUGGGGGUGAAAGGCCAAUCAAACCGGGAGAUAGCUGGUUCUCCCCGAAAGCUAUUUAGGUAGCGCCUCGUGAACUCAUCUCCGGGGGUAGAGCACUGUUUCGGCUAGGGGGCCAUCCCGGCUUACCAACCCGAUGCAAACUGCGAAUACCGGAGAAUGUUAUCACGGGAGACACACGGCGGGUGCUAACGUCCGUCGUGAAGAGGGAAACAACCCAGACCGCCAGCUAAGGUCCCAAAGUCAUGGUUAAGUGGGAAACGAUGUGGGAAGGCCCAGACAGCCAGGAUGUUGGCUUAGAAGCAGCCAUCAUUUAAAGAAAGCGUAAUAGCUCACUGGUCGAGUCGGCCUGCGCGGAAGAUGUAACGGGGCUAAACCAUGCACCGAAGCUGCGGCAGCGACGCUGUGCGUUGUUGGGUAGGGGAGCGUUCUGUAAGCCUGCGAAGGUGGCCUGUGAGGGUUGCUGGAGGUAUCAGAAGUGCGAAUGCUGACAUAAGUAACGAUAAAGCGGGUGAAAAGCCCGCUCGCCGGAAGACCAAGGGUUCCUGUCCAACGUUAAUCGGGGCAGG